rnacentral:siRNA from 1 species
GAGGUGUGUCAAUUGGGCUGUUGA